rnacentral:rRNA from 1 species
GAUGAACGCUAGCGGCAGGCCUAAUACAUGCAAGUCGGACGGGAUCCAUUGAUAGCUUGCUAUCAAUGGUGAGAGUGGCGCACGGGUGCGUAACGCGUGAGCAACCUGCCUCCAUCAGGGGGAUAGCCUCUCGAAAGAGAGAUUAACACCGCAUAAUAUCAACAGUUCGCAUGUUCAGUUGAUUAAAUAUUUAUAGGAUGGAGAUGGGCUCGCGUGACAUUAGCUAGUUGGUAGGGUAACGGCUUACCAAGGCGACGAUGUCUAGGGGCUCUGAGAGGAGAAUCCCCCACACUGGUACUGAGACACGGACCAGACGCCUACGGGAGGCAGCAGUAAGGAAUAUUGGUCAAUGGGCGGAAGCCUGAACCAGCCAUGCCGCGUGCAGGAUGACUGCCCUAUGGGUUGUAAACUGCUUUUGUCCAGGAAGAAACCUAAAUACGAGUAUUUAGCUGAAUGUACUGGAAGAAUAAGGAUCGGCUAACUCCGUG